ACGAACGCUGGCGGCGUGCUUAACACAUGCAAGUCGAACGGAAAGGCCCUGCUUUUGUGGGGUGCUCGAGUGGUGAACGGGUGAGUAACACGUGAGUAACCUGCCCUUGACUUUGGGAUAACUUCAGGAAACUGGGGCUAAUACCGGAUAGGAGCUCCUGCUGCAUGGUGGGGGUUGGAAAGUUUCGGCGGUUGGGGAUGGACUCGCGGCUUAUCAGCUUGUUGGUGGGGUAGUGGCUUACCAAGGCUUUGACGGGUAGCCGGCCUGAGAGGGUGACCGGCCACAUUGGGACUGAGAUACGGCCCAGACUCCUACGGGAGGCAGCAGCGGGGAAUAUUGCACAAUGGGCGGAAGCCUGAUGCAGCAACGCCGCGUGCGGGAUGACGGCCUUCGGGUUGUAAACCGCUUUCGCCUGUGACGAAGCGUGAGUGACGGUAAUGGGUAAAGAAGCACCGGCUAACUACGUG
rnacentral:rRNA from 1 species